rnacentral:rRNA from 1 species
GUACACUCCUGCGGGAGGCAGCAGUGGGGAAUAUUGGACAAUGGGCGCAAGCCUGAUCCAGCCAUGCCGCGUGAGUGAUGAAGGCCCUAGGGUUGUAAAGCUCUUUCACCGGAGAAGAUAAUGACGGUAUCCGGAGAAGAAGCCCCGGCUAACUUCGUGCCAGCAGCCGCGGUAAUACGAAGGGGGCUAGCGUUGUUCGGAAUUACUGGGCGUAAAGCGCACGUAGGCGGAUCGAUCAGUCAGGGGUGAAAUCCCAGGGCUCAACCCUGGAACUGCCUUUGAUACUGUCGAUCUGGAGUAUGGAAGAGGUGAGUGGAAUUCCGAGUGUAGAGGUGAAAUUCGUAGAUAUUCGGAGGAACACCAGUGGCGAAGGCGGCUCACUGGUCCAUUACUGACGCUGAGGUGCGAAAGCGUGGGGAGCAAACAGGAUUAGAAACCCUGGUAGUCCCAUGA